rnacentral:sRNA from 1 species
GCUAGGCUCGGUGGAGCAUGCCUGUAAUCCCAGCAACUCGGGAGGAUGAGGCAAGAGGAUUGCCAGUUCCAGGCCAGCUUCAGCAACUUGGUGAGACCCUGUCUCUA